CUAACCUCCCUUGGAACCAAUGAGAUUUUUCAAAAAAUCAAUUUAUUGACAUGAUUAUCUCUUCCAGGUCAGACCUUCUCGUCUCAGACAUUCAGUCUGAAGCCACAGGUGAAGAACCCAGCUCACUGGAAUAACUGCUUGAGUUGGGUGCUAACUUCUGCUGAGCAAACCUUACAGCAGGAUUUUGUUCCAGGUAAAGAUUUCCUUCCAUGAUAAAGAUAAGCCAAAGCAAAGAAGGAAGAAACUAAGCAGUUUUUGUACUGGGAGUCACAGAGCCUGCAGCCUUUCAUCACGUGCAGGCAGACAGCUUCCCUGAUAUGUGAAUUGUGAGGAAAAAAGGACAAAAACACUUCCCUCUGGUCAAGUACAGAAAAAUGAGCAAAGCUGCAUAUUCACUUUUGGUUUCAGUUCCAAAUUGCAAGAAUGUUCAACUGAAAAAUGCACCUAUUUUCCAUUUUGGAACUCUUCUCUGCUCCUGACUGCUCUUUUCCUGUGGUUUAACUUAACUAUAGCAGAGAGAGGCUGGAUGGGAGCAGUGACAGAUGACAUCACAUCUCUCUGAAUUAACAAGGCUACAAACAACUACACUAAGUUCAGCUGAAUGGAUCAACAAAUAAGUAGAACUACUCUUUUCCACAGCUUCCCAAUGUAAGUCACAAGAACUCCAGCCUUUGGAAAAUUCUCCUUUAAAGAAAGACUAAUUAAUUUCACAUUCUUGUUUUUUGUACAUGUUAAUACCUUUUAUAGGCACUUAAGCUGAGCAGUCAUAUAACUUUUUAUGUUUUAAUGUGUCAUAUGUCUUUAAUAAAUAACUUCUAGUGUUGUUUGUUCCA
rnacentral:lncRNA from 1 species